GUUGAACGUUCACAAACAAUUUCGAAUCAAGAUGUUUUGCAUUUAAACAAUGACAAAGUAAAUAAAAUCGAACUCAAAAUAAUUGAGGCCGUGACUAAAUGGGGAGGAUGUGCUAGUCAAAGACAGACAUGGAGACAGAGACGGAAAGGGAGACAGAGUGACAGUCAGACAAUCGAAGAGGCAGGGCUAUCCAACAUUUCUUUAAGGAUGAGCAAAACAAAAAAACGAAACUUUGCACUAAAUGUGAAAGUGAGAAUUUUUUUUUAUUCGCACUUUAAAGUGAUUUAUGGUCACUGAAUUUUGUCUGUAAAAAUCAUUGAAAGGAAUGCCUUUUGUCAUUGGAAAGGAAGGCAUCGAUUCCACAUCUCUCUUUUCAUUUGCUGACAGACGCUGAGCAAUUUUUUUCGUCUUCGCACGCAUGGAAAUAAUUACAUAUAUUUUAAUACUCUUUCUGAUUGGGUAAGAUUAUUUUCGUAAGAGGCUUGUAAUCAAGGCGUUCAAUGUUUUUCGAAUUGAAAAGAAUACAUAUUUAUUGUGAUACUAAUGGAAGAGUGUGAAAAUUUAUUAGUGUCAACUUAAA